UCCGGUUUGUCACCGGCAGUCACCUUAGAGUGCCCAACUGAAUGCUGGCAACUAAGGGCGAGGGUUGCGCUCGUUGCGGGACUUAACCCAACAUCUCACGACACGAGCUGACGACAGCCAUGCAGCACCUGUCACCGGUCCAGCCGAACUGAAGGAAUCCAUCUCUGGAAACCGCGACCAGCAUGUCAAGCCCUGGUAAGGUUCUUCGCGUUGCAUCGAAUUAAACCACACGCUCCGCCGCUUGUGCGGGCCCCCGUCAAUUCCUUUGAGUUUCAGCCUUGCGGCCGUACUCCCCAGGCGGGGCACUUACUGCGUUAGCGACGGCACCGGGAGGGUCGCUCCCCCCGACGCCUAGUGCCCAUCGUUUACGGCGUGGACUAC
rnacentral:misc_RNA from 1 species